rnacentral:tRNA from 1 species
GGCUCGUUGGUCAAGAGGUUAAGACACCGCCCUUUCACGGCGGUAACAGGGGUUCAAGUCCCCUACGAGUCACCA